AGGGUAAUGGCUCAGUGGUAGAGCACGUGCUUAGCAUACAGGAGGUCCUGGAUUCAGUCCCCAGUUCCCCCA
rnacentral:tRNA from 1 species